CUCUCCCUCUCCUGUAGCGCGGGGCCAGCGGGAGCAGCGGCCACGGCUGACGCGUGGGGACGUAUGCCGCGCCGAGCGGGAGCCGUUGUGUUUUUCUUUUUGUUUUCUUUUUCAACAAAUAUCACCGCUCCAUAGUCCCCCUGUUGGAGUAGUGAUUAUCCGUCAGAGACGGCCUCACCUGCCUUGCAGGCGAAAUAUCUAACUGCAGGCCGGGAAUGAAUGGCUAACAAAGUAGAGAGAUCGAUGAGCAAAUUAAAGGAUGAUGAUCGCGCGUGUGUACCUGCCCUAUCAUCAUUGAUAGGGAGACUUCUGCUGUUCACAACGCGCCGCGCACACGUCGUCCAUCGAUGAUAGCUAUAGCUAGUGUUGGAUCACGUUAAGCACAAGCCUAAUUUACGCAUCGCUUUUAUUUUUUAUUUCCAAACGAAGAAAAACAAGCACGGUUUCCAUGUGGACGCGACGAGCUUGCAUUGGGACGAUGGACGCUCCCUCUAGAGCUUGAUUUAUUUCAUCACCACCAUUUUAUUAUUAUUGCAUCUAUCUAUGGUCUAUCCUCCUGCUGUACCUGGCGGCAACAACAGCAUCGAUCUCUUCAGUCGCCAGUGCUGCUACUGCUCAUAGUCAGAGUCAUCUCUUCAGUCGCCUUCUGUUUUUCGUGCCCGCUGAUAGUUCAGCUGUGUCUUUUUCCAAAGGAACCAACCUACUAGACUACCGGUAGUGGACUAGUGGAGUAGUCUCCUGCUGGACUUGGACAGCAAUGUCUCUGUUUUUUAUUUCUACUGAUAACUUUCUUCCACCCUGUCUUCUUCUAGCUAUAGCUCCUGUUGGACUUUUGCGUGCACCGGUCCACGCCCAGCAGCACAUGGAUGGAAUUAAUCCUCCUCUCGUCUAUGGACUCUUUAUCAAAGUUUGCUUAUUUAUUCCGUGACUAGCACUUUUUUUUUCUUCUUGAAAUUUAGAGCAAAAUGCACCACCAUUCCUAAAUUUGCAAGGGUAUGUCAUUUAGGUCUGUCAACUCCGAGAGUUCUAUUUUUAGAUCCACAAAUUUGGAAGGGUGUGCCAUUUAGGUCCGUCAACUCCGAAAGUGCAUUUCUGGGUCCACAAACUUUUUAAAUUGUUCACGCAGAUCCAUAUAUAUCCACAUAUGCACGUAACACUGAUAUGGCACGCUGAUGGUACAUUCCCGAUACCGCCAACAUGGAUUAUGAUGAGAAAUUGAUGCUUUGUCCCUAGUUUUCUUCUCCACCAUGCCAUCUCCCUCCUCCUCUUGGCCGGUGGGUCGCUUGUCAAUCCCGCCACUCGCUAGGGCCAUCUAACUCGAGGUGCCUCCCGCUAUGGUGGUUACGGCCAUGUGAGCGAUGGUGCUAGUGUGUGCCAUGUCCGAUCAUCCGAUGGACGUACUAGUGGACGUGGUGAGCGUGUUAGAGAGCGGUAUGGAUGGCAAGACUGCUCGUGAGGGGUUGGAUUUGAGAGAUUUAGAGAAGAGAGGGAUAAAUGAGAUAGGAGACAUACAGUCAGCAUGCCAUGUCAUUAUUACGUGCACACAUGGAUACAUACGGACCUACGGUGAAUAAUUUAAAAAGUUUGUGGAUCCAGAAAUACAUUUUCGAAGUUGAUGGAGCUAAGUGAUGCACUCUAAUUAAUUUAGAGACGGCCGGUGCAUUUCACUCUGAAAUUAAUAAGACCGACGUAUACAAAUUGCAUAUCAGUCCCUACUGUUGCUGCACAAAAACAUCUCCUGAUGAUCGAUCCGGAGAUCAGUUACCAUACGCGGCCAGACGUUGGAGGCAUAGAUAGAGCGAGCUUGCACACAAUUUCGCAGCUUUUAAUUAGCUGCAUGUAACAUCGAUCUUGAGAUUUUUUGUUACUGAAGAUGCUGUGCCGCCUACUGUAUGUAUGUAACAUGAUCCAGCAGGUUGGUCUCGGACACUCUACAGACAUCAUAUAUAUGCUCCCGUGUCCACGCAUGUGUAAAGACAAGGCAAAUUCCCCUCCAUGCUUGCUUUGUUCUAACCUUACACUUUAUUUGCCUCGGAUCCUCAUCAGUUAUCUAUGUAUUAAUUAAUCUCUUUUACCAGCAAACCAGCCUAACAAUAUUCCAAUGUGCUUCUCCACUGGGUCUUCUCAGGUGCUGUUCCGAUCCUUUUUUGCUCAUCAACAGCGAAAGGUUGGUAGAGCAGCACCAUCGUCCGAUGCUCUUUUGGUUAUGCGUGCCCUCGAUGGAUCUCAUGCAUGAAACUGAAGCCCAGAUGGAUCUCAGAAUCUUUCUUCAGACAGGGGAUGAAGCCCGCAAAUAAUAAUAAAAAAGAGAGAUGGAUCCCUCUGGUUUCAGACUUUUCGGCAGUGAACUGAAGCUGCACGCAGCAACCUUCAUCCAGGCAGCGGUUGGCUCACACUCACACUGCAGGAGAGAAAAGAGGAGGAAAAAACAAAGGGAUGAGCAAAAGGACAAGUGAUGAUAAGCACCUGUUGGUACUUCAUACUUGAGAGCCAAACCCAACAGAUGCCUGCCUCCUCUAUCUCUGUCCUUUUCUCCUCUUCUGGAGGUGGA